rnacentral:lncRNA from 1 species
UUUUUGGUUGAAUGCCAGACACAGUAUGUAGAAUAGUAGACUAAAAUAAAUACAUAUGCCUGCAAAUGCACAAGGCUUUUCUUCUGCUUGGCUCCUGAUGUGGGGGUUGAGUCAAUUUAGUCAGGAAUAAAAUUGGGUUUGGUUUUUGGUGUUGAUGGGGUUACUUUCAGUGUACCACCAACUUAAGUUUUUCUAGAGAUGCUUUAUGUUUAGGGUGGUGGCUGGGGUGCAGAGGGUUGUUGUUGUUGUUGUCAUCAUUUUUAAUCAUUUCUGAACGUUGUCAGCUUUCAGUAUUCUCUGUGUGUCUGCAGCUAAAAGAGGGGGUCCAUGUUCUUGUCCUUCCCCCGUACAGUAGACUGCUGUGCUAGUCUGGAGGUGGUGAACAAAAAUAUUCUGUUUCCUGAUCUAGUUUUGACACAGGCAGGCCCUGUGUCCCUGGGUCUUGGGGGUGAGGCUUUUUCAGUGAUCCAGCCUACUUUCCUGUGGCAGCCAAACUCUGCCUUAUAACUUUGGUGGGUCUUACAAUGGAGAGAGUUUCCUGUUCCUUUACCAGCAGUAGGAGACAUCUAAGGGUAUUAGUAUAGGAUUCUGGGCUCAGAAUGAUUUCCUUCUGACUCUACCUCAAGGGCAGAGUUUCUUCUUUUACCCUAAUGCCACCUGUGAUGGAUCUUCAACUAUGUUCUGGGGAUGACAGAGUUUUCUGCCCAAUAUCUCUCAGGACUUUAGGGCUUUAUUCCAAGGAGGGCAACAGUUGAAUACUGAGUUUUGUGCCUCUGCCACAGCGGCAGCCCUCUACGUUGUGAGGUAUGCUCCAGUUUCCUAUCCUAUGUCUAGUCUUUUGUGUGAGCACACAGUAGUGGUUUGUAGAGCAGAGCUUUCAAGUGGGAGUUUGCCCCCAUGAUUUUAUAUGCUCAUAUAAACCCUCCUUUGGUUUUUAGAAGUUAAAGUUUUUUUAUUACCUGAAUUCUUCUUACCCAUUUGUAUGGCACCUGAUGCCUUUUCUUCCUGUGCUCUGUCACAAAUGAUUCAGUGUCUGAGUCUCAUUUUUCCUUAAAGGGCCCAUCUUUCCUUAGUUUUCAGGCUACUUGGUUGCCCUACAACCUCAUUUUUCUGAUAGGUUCAAUAAAAGUUACAAUUUUCUUGUUGUUAGGGUAGGAGUGACAUUCUUCCUGCCUUUCUUCAUCCAAAACAGAAACAGAAUUUUGGGUUAUUCAUUCUGAAUGGGAAGGAACAAGGGGAAUGGAGGAGAAACCACAGUGGAGUGAGACAAGGAGAUUUUUCACUAAUGGAGAAGAAGGAUGUACCAGCUGACCAAGGAUAUGGUAUUCCAAAACAAGGAUGGGGAUGUUUGCUAAAUCACAAGAAGCAGAAAGGUGUGACUCAAUUAGCAGUUAAUAUGUGUAGCAAUUCACUAAGACAGAGACAUGCACUGAGGCUGAAUCUCUAUGUCAGCCAGACAGAGUUGGCCCAUUGGAGGUGACAAGGUGAAACCAUGUCCCAUAGGGUUAAGGAGGUUAAAAUUGCCACCAGCAAGAGCCCACUGACCCCUUCAUCUUCUUCACAAAAAUGUUAACCUUAUCUUUUAGAGGAAAACAACAGGAAGACCUCUGGUGGCUCAGACCAAUUUGAGCUUGAUGGUUGAGUCACAUCUACAUAGAUGGACCAUGGAGUGCCCAACAGUUAUGUCUACAUCAUUGUAAUGUUAAAAUCUCCAUCCAAAGAGGAACAUAAGCUUCAUUAACAUAACAUAGGGUACAUGCAUAGGCAUGUUUUCUAAGUAAGCCCACGCAACAACAUUAUGCUCUCCAUUACAUAUGAUGACAAAUCUCCCCUUUCUGAAGAUUUAUCCUACUCCUAAAUAAAACAAGCCACUCACCCCCACUCAGGAAGUCAUGGCCUUGGAAUUUAUUCCCCGCGAUUCUCAUUUCUGUUGCAAAUAAAGUUUCCUUCAUGUGAUAAUUCCCCCUGGUAUGGUCUCUAUCACCAAGGAGUGAACUCAGUUCAGUUACAAUGGUAGGAGCCUGAUCCGGAUACACCCGAGGGAUAAGGAAGAAGUGGCAAGUACUGGCCUUUGCACAAUGAAGGGUGGCUGGCUUACAGUAUUACACCCCCAAGUGCCCAACAAAUGAACUCUGAAAUGUCUUCUCCCCAGCAACUCUGAGACUGCUCUGCACAUGGGGAAAUUUCCAUCUCCUGAUUUCAGUCAUUUCUGGAUUCUUGCCUAUUCCUUCCCUCAAAUAGUUUUCUUUUUAUCUUAAUUCUGAACUCCUACUUGUCUCUCUGCUUAUCAUCUCCUCUCUCCCCUUCAGUCCAUCCUAUGAAUCGGCAUCAUAAAACAUAAAGCAUCAGUGUUUUCCUCUAUUCUCACAAAAUGUCACCAGCUCUUCCUUGCCUGGAUGACUGUCACAAACUUAAAUGCUCACAGGGACCAGGCAGGAAGCAUGACCAAUUGAGGAAAGUGAGACUGACCAAAAGCACACACAUGCCUGGUUGCAGCAAACAAAUGCUUCUCAACCCCAGGAUACUCUUGUGAAGUGAGAAUACAGGCUAUGUGGACAGGUUUUCUGAUUUUCCCAGAUAAGCUGGAAAUCUAGAUUUUUGCAUGAGUUUUCCAAUUUGUAAUGUUGGCAACUAAUUUAAAAAUUUGUCAAAAUAGUGUGUGGGCCAGAGAAAACAAUCUGUGGCCGGAUAUGCCAUGACAGCUGCUAGUUCACAACCCCUGGCUUGGAAAAUCAGCUCCACAUCUCUCCGCUUGAUAUGUGAGGCAUUGCUCACCCCACCACCCUGCCUUUUCAAGAACUGAGCCCAUAGGCCAGACAAUUGGAAAGAUGUCAAGUCCAUGGUACACAGUGGUCAGUCUUCAGACUCAUCCAGGAGCUGAAUGCCCCUGUUUGCAACAACCUAACCCUGCAUUUCUCAUCAUUAAAACCUCCCUGAUUUCCAGAGCUGUGUGACUCCUCUCCCAGUACAGGAUCUUCUUUGACAGCUUCAUGACCCCUCUCCUGACCUU